rnacentral:rRNA from 1 species
AUGCCUGUACCAUAACCGACACAGGUGGGUAGGUAGAGUAUACUAAGGGGCGCGAGAUAACUCUCUCUAAGGAACUCGGCAAAAUGACUCCGUAACUUCGGGAGAAGGAGUGCCUUAUUUAUAAGGUUGCAAUAACAAGAUCCAAGCAACUGUUUAUCAAAAACACAGGUCUCCGCUAAGUCGUAAGACGAUGUAUGGGGGCUGACGCCUGCCCAGUGCCAGAAGGUUAAAGAAGUUGGUUAGUGUAUGCGAAGCUGAUGACUGAAGCCCUGGUGAACGGCGGCCGUAACAAUAACGGUCCUAAGGUAGCGAAAUUCCUUGUCGGGUAAGUUCCGACCCGCACGAAAGGCGUAAUGAUUUGGAUACUGUCUCGGAGAGAGGCUCGGUGAAAUAGACUUGUCUGUGAAGAUGCGGACUACCUGCACCAGGACAGAAAGACCCUAUGAAGCUUUACUGUAACUUGAAAUUGGAAUUGGACUUUGCUUGCGCAGUAUAGGUGGGAAGCGUUGAAGAUAUUCUUGCGGGAGUAUUGGAGCUAUCAGUGAGAUACCACUCUUGUAAUGUUAGAUUUCUAACUUUGAACCAUAAUCUGGUCAAAGAACAGUUUCAGGUGGGCAGUUUGACUGGGGCGGUCGCCUCCCAAAUGGUAACGGAGGCGUACAAAGGUUUCCUCUGAACGGAUAGAAAUCGUAUCUAGAGUGUAAAGGCAUAAGGAAGCUUGACUGUGAGACCUACAAGUCGAGCAGGGACGAAAGUCGGUCUUAGUGAUCUGACGGUACUGAGUGGAAAGGCCGUCACUCAACGGAUAAAAGUUACUCUAGGAUAACAGGCUGAUCUCCCCCAAGAGUUCACAUCGACGGGGAGGUUUGGCACCUCGAUGUCGGCUCAUCGCAUCCUGGGGCGGUAGUACGUCCCAAGGGUUGGGCUGUUCGCCCAUGAAAGCGGUACGCGAGCUGGGUUCAGAACGUCGUGAGACAGUUCGGUCCAUAUCCGGUGUAGGCGUUAGAAUAUUGAGAGGAGCCUUCUUUAGUACGAGAGGACCGAGAAGGACACACCGCUGGUGUACCAGUUAUCGUACCAACGGUAAACGCUGGGUAGCUAUGUGUGGAGUGGAUAACCGCUGAAAGCAUCAAAGUGGGAAGCCCACCUCAAGAUGAGUACUCUCACCAUAUUGGUUAAGGUCACGGGAAGAACACCCGU